GGGAGCGUUCUCAUCGGGCUGAAGCAGUACCGUAAGGAGUUGUGGACUGAUGAGAAGUGAGAAUGUCGGUAUGAGUAGCGAAAAGAAUGGUGAGAAUCCAUUCCACCGAAAGCCUAAGGGUUCCUGAGCAACGAUCGUCGUCUCAGGGUAAGUCGGGACCUAAGCCGAGGCGGAAAAGCGUAGGCGAUGGACAACAGGUUGAAAUUCCUGUACCGGUGUGAAUCGUUUGAUCGAAGGAGUGACACAGUAAGGUAGGUCAGCACGCGAUUGGAAGUGCGUGUUUAAGCAGGUAGGUUGAGCUAUAGGCAAAUCCGUAGCUCUAAAAGCUGAGAUGUGAUGACGAGUUACUAGCGAUAGUAACGAAGUGAUUGAUCCUACACUGUCGAGAAUAG
rnacentral:rRNA from 1 species